ACACAGCUGAUGAAUCUGAAAUAGGAUGAAACGCGCGUCCUGGAU
rfam:Schistosoma haematobium scaffold683_2, whole genome shotgun sequence.